rnacentral:rRNA from 1 species
GAUGGACGCUAGCGGGAGGCCUAACACAUGCAAGCCGAGCGGUAGAGAUCUUUCGGGAUCUUGAGAGCGGCGUACGGGUGCGGAACACGUGUGCAACCUGCCUUUAUCAGGGAGAUAGCCUUUCGAAAGGAAGAUUAAUAUCCCAUAAUAUAUUGAAUGGCAUCAUUUAAUAUUGAAAGCUCCGGCGGAUAGAGAUGGGCACGCGCAAGAUUAGAUAGUUGGUGAGGUAACGGCUCACCAAGUCAGUGAUCUUUAGGGGGCCUGAGAGGGUGAUCCCCCACACUGGUACUGAGACACGGACCAGACUCCUACGGGAGGCAGCAGUGAGGAAUAUUGGACAAUGGGUGAGAGCCUGAUCCAGCCAUCCCGCGUGAAGGACGACGGUUCUAUGGAUUGUAAACUUCUUUUAUACUGGGAUAAACCUACCCUCGUGAGGGUAGCUGAAGGUACAGUAUGAAUAAGCACCGGCUAACUCCGUGCCAGCAGCCGCGGUAAUACGGAGGGUGCAAGCGUUAUCCGGAUUUAUUGGGUUUAAAGGGUCCGUAGGCGGAUCUGUAAGUCAGUGGUGAAAUCUCACAGCUUAACUGUGAAACUGCCAUUGAUACUGCAGGUCUUGAGUAAAGUAGAAGUGGCUGGAAUAAGUAGUGUAGCGGUGAAAUGCAUAGAUAUUACUUAGAACACCAAUUGCGAAGGCAGGUCACUAUGUUUUAACUGACGCUGAUGGACGAAAGCGUGGGGAGCGAACAGGAUUAGAUACCCUGGUAGUCCACGCCGUAAACGAUGCUAACUCGUUUUUGGGUUUUCGGAUUCAGAGACUAAGCGAAAGUGAUAAGUUAGCCACCUGGGGAGUACGUUCGCAAGAAUGAAACUCAAAGGAAUUGACGGGGGCCCGCACAAGCGGUGGAUUAUGUGGUUUAAUUCGAUGAUACGCGAGGAACCUUACCAAGGCUUAAAUGGGAAUUGACAGGUUUGGAAACAGACUUUUCUUCGGACAAUUUUCAAGGUGCUGCAUGGUUGUCGUCAGCUCGUGCCGUGAGGUGUUAGGUUAAGUCCUGCAACGAGCGCAACCCCUGUCACUAGUUGCCAUCAUUCAGUUGGGGACUCUAGUGAGACUGCCUACGCAAGUAGAGAGGAAGGUGGGGAUGACGUCAAAUCAUCACGGCCCUUACGCCUUGGGCCACACACGUAAUACAAUGGCCGGUACAGAGGGCAGCUACUAUGCGAAUAGAUGCGAAUCUCGAAAGCCGGUCUCAGUUCGGAUUGGAGUCUGCAACUCGACUCUAUGAAGCUGGAAUCGCUAGUAAUCGCGCAUCAGCCAUGGCGCGGUGAAUACGUUCCCGGGCCU